UACAGAGGGGGCAAGCGUUGGUCGGAAUUACUGGGCGUAAAGGGCGCGUAGGCGGCCUGCUAAGUCGAACGUGAAAUCCCUGGGCUCAACCCAGGAACUGCGUCCGAUACUGGUUGGCUUGAAUCCGGGAGAGGGAUGUGGAAUUCCAGGUGUAGCGGUGAAAUGCGUAGAGAUCUGGAGGAACACCGAUGGCGAAGGCAGCCCCCUGGGUUAACACUGACGCUCAUGCACGAAAGCGUGGGGAGCAAACAGG
rnacentral:rRNA from 1 species